AACGAACGCUGGCGGCAUGCCUAAUACAUGCAAGUCGAACGAGAUCUUCGGAUCUAGUGGCGCACGGGUGCGUAACGCGUGGGAAUCUGCCCUUGGGUUCGGAAUAACGUCGGGAAACUGACGCUAAUACCGGAUGAUGACGUAAGUCCAAAGAUUUAUCGCCCAAGGAUGAGCCCGCGUAGGAUUAGCUAGUUGGUGAGGUAAAGGCUCACCAAGGCUACGAUCCUUAGCUGGUCUGAGAGGAUGAUCAGCCACACUGGGACUGAGACACGGCCCAGACUCCUACGGGAGGCAGCAGUAGGGAAUAUUGGACAAUGGGGGCAACCCUGAUCCAGCAAUGCCGCGUGAGCGAUGAAGGCCUUAGUGUUGUAAAGCUCUUUUACCCGGGAUGAUAAUGACAGUACCGGGAGAAUAAGCCCCGGCUAACUCCGUGCCAGCCGCCGCAGUAA
rnacentral:rRNA from 1 species